rnacentral:rRNA from 1 species
GUCUACUACCAUACCAACCUAAGUGUUCCCAAUCUCAUCUGGUCUCAGAAGCUAAGCAGUAUCAGGCCUGAUUAGUAUUUGGAUGGGAGACA